UUGUGAGAUUGUCCAACAUCCAUCAAAUGAAUCGCCAAACACACUGAAAUCAUCCAUAAAUACCUCAAUAAUUUUUUCCACAAAAUCUGAAAAGAUACUUACCAUACACCUUUGAAAUGUGCGGAGCAUUGCAUAAACCAAAGGCAUGCGACGAUAAGCAAAAGUCCCAAAGGGGCAUGUGAAAGUUGUCUUUUCUUGGUCAUCCGGCGCUAUGACAAUCUGAUUAUAUCCAGAAUAACCAUCAAGGAACAAUAAAAAGAAUGACGGCUAACCUUUCAAGCAUUUGAUCAAUGAACGGCAAAGGGAAGUGGUCUUCCUUGUGGUGGCGUUGAGCUUCCUAUA
rnacentral:lncRNA from 1 species